ACCCCAACCCGCCCCCACGGCAACUACAGAACUCAAAGCGAGGCUACACAUAGACGGACCUCUACAAAAAUGAAACUUAGCAGAUGUGUAGUUCAUGGAUCCUGAAGUCUGUAUAGAAGAUCACCUGGAAGAAGGAGAGGGGAACACUCAGCAGAUGUGAUGGCCAUUCUUUGCCAUGCUAGUGCCUCCUCCGGGGGCAGACUGACCCCAUCUCCAUGUGCCAGUGCUGCUCAUCAUCCCUCCGCCUCUUCAGAACUGCCUUCUGCUUCUGCUUCCUCAUCUUUC